rnacentral:tRNA from 2 species
UGGGGCGUCGCCAAGCGGUAAGGCACCGGCUUUUGGAGCCGAUGUUCCAAUGUUCAUUUCCCUAGCCA